UGGCGGCGUGCCUAAUACAUGCAAGUCGAGCGAGCGGAACUAACAGAUUUACUUCGGUAAUGACGUUAGGAAAGCGAGCGGCGGAUGGGUGAGUAACACGUGGGGAACCUGCCCCAUAGUCUGGGAUACCACUUGGAAACAGGUGCUAAUACCGGAUAAGAAAGCAGAUCGCAUGAUCAGCUUUUAAAAGGCGGCGUAAGCUGUCGCUAUGGGAUGGCCCCGCGGUGCAUUAGCUAGUUGGUAAGGUAAAGGCUUACCAAGGCGAUGAUGCAUAGCCGAGUUGAGAGACUGAUCGGCCACAUUGGGACUGAGACACGGCCCAAACUCCUACGGGAGGCAGCAGUAGGGAAUCUUCCACAAUGGACGCAAGUCUGAUGGAGCAACGCCGCGUGAGUGAAGAAGGUUUUCGGAUCGUAAAGCUCUGUUGUUGGUGAAGAAGGAUAGAGGUAGUAACUGGCCUUUAUUUGACGGUAAUCAACCAGAAAGUCACGGCUAACUACGUGCCAGCAGCCGCGGUAAUACGUAGGUGGCAAGCGUUGUCCGGAUUUAUUGGGCGUAAAGCGAGCGCAGGCGGAAGAAUAAGUCUGAUGUGAAAGCCCCUCGGCUUAACCGAGGAACUGCAUCGGAAACUGUUUUUCUUGAGUGCAGAAGAGGAGAGUGGAACUCCAUGUGUAGCGGUGGAAUGCGUAGAUAUAUGGAAGAACACCAGUGGCGGAGGCGGCUCUCUGGUCUGCAACUGACGCUGAGGCUCGAAAGCAUGGGUAGCGAACAGGAUUAGAUACCCUGGUAGUCCAUGCCGUAAACGAUGAGUGCUAAGUGUUGGGAGGUUUCCGCCUCUCAGUGCUGCAGCUAACGCAUUAAGCACUCCGCCUGGGGAGUACGACCGCAAGGUUGAAACUCAAAGGAAUUGACGGGGGCCCGCACAAGCGGUGGAGCAUGUGGUUUAAUUCGAAGCAACGCGAAGAACCUUACCAGGUCUUGACAUCUAGUGUCAUUUGUAGAGAUACAAAGUUCCCUUCGGGGACGCUAAGACAGGUGGUGCAUGGCUGUCGUCAGCUCGUGUCGUGAGAUGUUGGGUUAAGUCCCGCAACGAGCGCAACCCUUGUUAUUAGUUGCCAGCAUUAAGUUGGGCACUCUAAUGAGACUGCCGGUGACAAACCGGAGGAAGGUGGGGAUGACGUCAAGUCAUCAUGCCCCUUAUGACCUGGGCUACACACGUGCUACAAUGGGCAGUACAACGAGAAGCGAGCCUGCGAAGGCAAGCGAAUCUCUGAAAGCUGUUCUCAGUUCGGACUGCAGUCUGCAACUCGACUGCACGAAGCUGGAAUCGCUAGUAAUCGCGGAUCAGCACGCCGCGGUGAAUACGUUCCCGGGCCUUGUACACACCGCCCGUCACACCAUGGGAGUCUGCAAUGCCCAAAGCCGGUGGCCUAACCUUCGGGAAGGAGCCGUCUAAGGCAGGGCAGAUGACUGGGGUGAAGUCAUAACAAG
rnacentral:rRNA from 1 species